GCUUUCGAAUAGGGAGAUUUAAUGGUGUCUCACAUGAGUUUUACUUUCUUUGUUUUUGAUGAUACCUGGAAACUAGAAGGCUUCUUCAGUUAAGUUAAAUUGGAGGUCAUCUACUGCAAAUACAUAUAAGACUGGUACUUGUUGAUAACGUCUAAGUCGUAGGCACUUAACCCUUUUAGGCUUCAUUCUGAGUUGUUCUUUAUCGAUAGCAUGGGGGCUGGGGAAGAGAGCUCACCUGCUAAGCCUUCCAAACCUGCUUCAGUUGGAAAUUGCAAGCUUUCUAACCGUUUGGAUCCAGUUGCGAAAAAAUAAACCUUUGGACGAAAGUCACAAAACUGGCCAAACUUCAGGGACGAAAAUGGCAUUAUACUCAAUAAAAAAGCUUACUUUUUUAUGAACCCUGCUGUAUCAUUCUUUUUGUUUAAUUGUUCUGUUAUUUCAGGUUGCUGAUUUGGCAAGGCUAAGUCAUGAAAACACAGGGAAAUUGCUUGGGUAUUGUAUAGAUACUAGCCCGUCAACGAAUGUUAGUUUUUGAAUAUGCGUCGGACGGAACAUUGUAUGAGCAUCUCCAUUCUUGAUGACUUUGAAAGUUGGAAAACUCUUGUGAUGAGAUCAGAAAGUAGCGCACAUUCGAUUAGCCAUGAAGGUGAUAUGUGUUCUUCCGAGCUCGUUUGAAGAACGCGAUCUGGAUAUAUGUGUUCACAAGGAAAUCCAGCACACAUUUAAGGCCCCAAGACCGUAUAUCCAUGAAAGAAUUGUGUGCCAUUUUGGAAAAAUAGAAUCGACACAUCAUCUUCUUCAGAGAUGAAGGCGACUUCAUUAGCCUGGGCCGAGCUCAUGCUCUCCCCUUGACCAGAGUCAUAGAGCUUGGCAUCAUAUAGUAAAUACUUCCUAUAUACAUCAUUAUACUAGGACACGUUUAGGAAUUUUGUGUUCGUGAUCGUUUGACAAUUUCAAUCGAGAUUUUUUUAAUCAAGAUUAACCAUAUAAAUGUUAUA
rnacentral:lncRNA from 1 species